GGAGGGGUGUCGGAGUGGACGAUCGUGGCGGUCUUGAAAACCGCUGAGGUGCAAGCCUCCGUGGGUUCGAAUCCCACCCCCUCCGCCA
rnacentral:tRNA from 1 species